ACCUACGGGGGGCAGCAGUGAGGAAUAUUGGUCAAUGGGCGGAAGCCUGAACCAGCCAAGUCGCGUGAGGGAAUAAGGCCCUACGGGUCGUAAACCUCUUUUGCCGGGGAGCAAGGGCCGGGACGCGUCCCGGCCCGGAGAGUACCCGGAGAAAAAGCAUCGGCUAACUCCGUGCCAGCAGCCGCGGUAAUACGGAGGAUGCGAGCGUUAUCCGGAUUUAUUAGGUUUAAAGGGUGCGUAGGCGGGCUUUUAAGUCAGCGGUAAAAAUUCGGGGCGCAACCCCGUCCGGACGU
rnacentral:rRNA from 1 species